GACGAACGCUGGCGGCGUGCUUAACACAUGCAAGUCGAACGCUGAAGCUCAGCUUUUGUUGGGUGGAUGAGUGGCGAACGGGUGAGUAACACGUGAGUAACCUGCCCUCUUCUUUGGGAUAACGCCCGGAAACGGGUGCUAAUACUGGAUAUUCACUGAUCUUCGCAUGGGGGUUGGUGGAAAGGUUUGUUCUGGUGGGGGAUGGGCUCGCGGCCUAUCAGCUUGUUGGUGGGGUGAUGGCCUACCAAGGCUUUGACGGGUAGCCGGCCUGAGAGGGUGACCGGUCACAUUGGGACUGAGAUACGGCCCAGACUCCUACGGGAGGCAGCAGUGGGGAAUAUUGCACAAUGGGCGAAAGCCUGAUGCAGCGACGCCGCGUGAGGGAUGGAGGCCUUCGGGUUGUAAACCUCUUUCGCUCAUGGUCAAGCCGCAACUGUGGGUUGUGGUGAGGGUAGUGGGUAAAGAAGCGCCGGCUAACUACGUGCCAGCAGCCGCGGUAAUACGUAGGGCGCGAGCGUUGUCCGGAAUUAUUGGGCGUAAAGGGCUUGUAGGCGGUUGGUCGCGUCUGCCGUGAAAUUCUCUGGCUUAACUGGGGGCGUGCGGUGGGUACGGGCUGACUUGAGUGCGGUAGGGGAGACUGGAACUCCUGGUGUAGCGGUGGAAUGCGCAGAUAUCAGGAAGAACACCGGUGGCGAAGGCGGGUCUCUGGGCCGUUACUGACGCUGAGGAGCGAAAGCGUGGGGAGCGAACAGG
rnacentral:rRNA from 1 species